rnacentral:rRNA from 1 species
GAGUUUGAUCCUGGCUCAGGAUGAACGCUGGCGGCAUGCCUAACACAUGCAAGUUGAACGAGAAGUUCUGGAGGGAGUCUUCGGACGAACGAAGGGAUGGAAAGUAGCGAACGGGUGAGUAACGCGUGGGCAACCAACCUUACACAGGGGGAUAACACAGAGAAAUCUGUGCUAAUACCGCAUAAGCGCACAGUACUGCAUAGUACGGUGUGAAAAACUCCGGUGGUGUAAGACGGGCCCGCGUCUGAUUAGCUAGUUGGUAGGGUAAAAGCCUACCAAGGCAACGAUCAGUAGCCGACCUGAGAGGGUGAUCGGCCACAUUGGGACUGAGACACGGCCCAAACUCCUACGGGAGGCAGCAGUGGGGGAUAUUGCACAAUGGAGGAAACUCUGAUGCAGCAAUGCCGCGUGAAGGAAGAAGGUCUUCGGAUUGUAAACUUCUAUCAGCAGGGAAGAAAAUGACGUACCUGACUAAGAGCCCCG